ensembl:ncRNA R13H4.10 ncRNA
UUUUUUAAAGAAUUUCCCCGAAAUUCUAAAAAAAACAUUUUCCAUGUCUGAACUCGCGGUGGUCAUUUUUUUUUCUAAAAAACGGCUUUAGUUCGAGUUCGGUUAACAAACAAAAACAGUUGUUCUCGCCCUGAGGGACAAGGCGUCACACUUGAAAGAACGCACGAUUGUUUGUUUGUUUGUUCUCACCGUCUCCAUCGCCCUUUUGUGAAAAAGAUGCGCU